rnacentral:rRNA from 1 species
AAGACGACUCUCAGCAAUGGAUAUCUUGGCUCUCACCACAAUGAAUAAUGUAGCAAAAUGCGAUACUUAGUGUGAAUUGUAGAAUCUCAUGAAUCAUCGAGUCUAUGAAUGCAAGUUGCGCUCAAGGCUCUAGCCAAGGGCACGUGUUUGCUUGGGCAUAGCUC